rnacentral:rRNA from 1 species
UACGUAGGUGGCAAGCGUUGUCCGGAAUUAUUGGGCGUAAAGCGCGCGCAGGCGGUCCUUUAAGUCUGAUGUGAAAGCCCACGGCUCAACCGUGGAGGGUCAUUGGAAACUGGGGGACUUGAGUGCAGAAGAGGAAAGCGGAAUUCCACGUGUAGCGGUGAAAUGCGUAGAGAUGUGGGGGAACACCAGUGGCGAAGGCGGCUUUCUGGUCUGUAACUGACGCUGAGGCGCGAAGGCCAGGGGAGCAAACGGG